UAGGGAAUCUUCCGCAAUGGACGAAAGUCUGACGGAGCAACGCCGCGUGAGCGAUGAAGGCCUUCGGGUCGUAAAGCUCUGUUGUUAGGGAAGAACAAGUGCUAGUUGAAUAAGCUGGCACCUUGACGGUACCUAACCAGAAAGCCACGGCUAACUACGUGCCAGCAGCCGCGGUAAUACGUAGGUGGCAAGCGUUAUCCGGAAUUAUUGGGCGUAAAGCGCGCGCAGGUGGUUUCUUAAGUCUGAUGUGAAAGCCCACGGCUCAACCGUGGAGGGUCAUUGGAAACUGGGAGACUUGAGUGCAGAAGAGGAAAGUGGAAUUCCAUGUGUAGCGGUGAAAUGCGUAGAGAUAUGGAGGAACACCAGUGGCGAAGGCGACUUUCUGGUCUGCAACUGACACUGAGGCGCGAAAGCGUGGGGAGCAAACA
rnacentral:rRNA from 1 species